rnacentral:rRNA from 1 species
GUUCUCUCCGAAAUAGCUUUAGGGCUAGCCUCAAGUGAUGAUUAUUGGAGGUAGAGCACUGUUUGGACGAGGGGCCCCUCUCGGGUUACCGAAUUCAGACAAACUCCGAAUGCCAAUUAAUUUAACUUGGGAGUCAGAACAUGGGUGAUAAGGUCCGUGUUCGAAAGGGAAACAGCCCAGACCACCAGCUAAGGUCCCAAAAUAUAUGUUAAGUGGAAAAGGAUGUGGCGUUGCCCAGACAACUAGGAUGUUGGCUUAGAAGCAGCCAUCAUUUAAAGAGUGCGUAAUAGCUCACUAGUCGAGUGACACUGCGCCGAAAAUGUACCGGGGCUAAACAUAUUACCGAAGCUGUGGAUUGUCCUUUGGACAAUGGUAGGAGAGCGUUCUAAGGGCGUUGAAGCAUGAUCGUAAGGACAUGUGGAGCGCUUAGAAGUGAGAAUGCCGGUGUGAGUAGCGAAAGACGGGUGAGAAUCCCGUCCACCGAUUGACUAAGGUUUCCAGAGGAAGGCUCGUCCGCUCUGGGUUAGUCGGGUCCUAAGCUGAGGCCGACAGGCGUAGGCGAUGGAUAACAGGUUGAUAUUCCUGUACCACCUAUAAUCGUUUUAAUCGAUGGGGGGACGCAGUAGGAUAGGCGAAGCGUGCGAUUGGAUUGCACGUCUAAGCAGUAAGGCUGAGUAUUAGGCAAAUCCGGUACUCGUUAAGGCUGAGCUGUGAUGGGGAGAAGACAUUGUGUCUUCGAGUCGUUGAUUUCACACUGCCGAGAAAAGCCUCUAGAUAGAAAAUAGGUGCCCGUACCGCAAACCGACACAGGUAGUCAAGAUGAGAAUUCUAAGGUGAGCGAGCGAACUCUCGUUAAGGAACUCGGCAAAAUGACCCCGUAACUUCGGGAGAAGGGGUGCUCUUUAGGGUUAACGCCCAGAAGAGCCGCAGUGAAUAGGCCCAAGCGACUGUUUAUCAAAAACACAGGUCUCUGCUAAACCGUAAGGUGAUGUAUAGGGGCUGACGCCUGCCCGGUGCUGGAAGGUUAAGAGGAGUGGUUAGCUUCUGCGAAGCUACGAAUCGAAGCCCCAGUAAACGGCGGCCGUAACUAUAACGGUCCUAAGGUAGCGAAAUUCCUUGUCGGGUAAGUUCCGACCCGCACGAAAGGCGUAACGAUUUGGGCACUGUCUCAACGAGAGACUCGGUGAAAUCAUAGUACCUGUGAAGAUGCAGGUUACCCGCGACAGGACGGAAAGACCCCGUGGAGCUUUACUGUAGCCUGAUAUUGAAAUUCGGCACAGCUUGUACAGGAUAGGUAGGAGCCUUUGAAACGUGAGCGCUAGCUUACGUGGAGGCGCUGGUGGGAUACUACCCUAGCUGUGUUGGCUUUCUAACCCGCACCACUUAUCG